rnacentral:rRNA from 1 species
UGCGUAGGCGGGCUAAUAAGUCAGUGGUGAAAUCUUCCGGCUCAACCGGGAAACUGCCAUUGAUACUGUUAGCCUUGAGCUAGGUUGAGGUAGGCGGAAUGUGUAAUGUAGCGGUGAAAUGCUUAGAUAUUACACAGAACACCAAUUGCGUAGGCAGCUUACUGGACCUACACUGACGCUGAGGCACGAAAGCGUGGGGAGCGAACAGGAUUAGAUACCCUGGUAGUCC